GACGAACGCUGGCGGCGUGCUUAACACAUGCAAGUCGAACGGAAAGGCCCUUCGGGGUACUCGAGUGGCGAACGGGUGAGUAACACGUGGGUGAUCUGCCCUGCACUUUGGGAUAAGCCUGGGAAACUGGGUCUAAUACCGAAUAUGAUCAUCGGCUUCAUGGUCGGUGGUGGAAAGCUUUUGCGGUGUGGGAUGGGCCCGCGGCCUAUCCGCUUGUUGGUGGGGUAAUGGCCUACCAAGGCGACGACGGGUAGCCGGCCUGAGAGGGUGACCGGCCACACUGGGACUGAGAUACGGCCCAGACUCCUACGGGAGGCAGCAGUGGGGAAUAUUGCACAAUGGGCGCAAGCCUGAUGCAGCGACGCCGCGUGAGGGAUGACGGCCUUCGGGUUGUAAACCUCUUUCAGCACAGACGAAGCGCAAGUGACGGUAUGUGCAGAAGAAGGACCGGCCAACUACGUG
rnacentral:rRNA from 1 species